UACGAAGGGGGCUAGCGUUGUUCGGAAUCACUGGGCGUAAAGCGCACGUAGGCGGAUUGUUAAGUCGGGGGUGAAAUCCUGAGGCUCAACCUCAGAACUGCCUUCGAUACUGGCAAUCUCGAGUCCGGAAGAGGUUGGUGGAACAGCUAGUGUAGAGGUGAAAUUCGUAGAUAUUAGGAAGAACACCAGUGGCGAAGGCGGCCCACUGGAUCGGUACUGACGCUGAGGCGCGAAAGCGGUGGGGAGCGAACGAGG
rnacentral:rRNA from 1 species